GCUGUACCGGUUCGAUUGGGAUACUCAUCAAUAAUUACCAGAAAACCGAGAAUGCUUGCCUUGAUAAUGGCGUGCCGAUAUGCGCUUGCGUAGGGUCGGAUUACAAAGUCAAGGAGGGCGCUCAAAACUUACUAUCUCGGAGUUUCAUCACAUCAUCGGUACAGCCUUUUU
rnacentral:sRNA from 1 species